AAACGGAACGAAACGUAGCCAGAUUGUCUUGCUUGCGAACUGGGCCUUUCGUGGGUUCUUCGUCUAUCUCGCCUCUCGUCGCUUGGGGUUUUGUCUGAACUUGUCAAAAUCGCCAAAUUCCGCUCGUGUAAGGUGAAUGGACUUUGGACGGAGGGAGCAAGGAGGGAGUCUUCAGAUUCCACCCAAGUCACCCAACCACCCAUACCACUUUUGCUCGUUGCUCUACCAACAGAAACAAGAAAAUCCAAAGAAAAUCGUCAGCAGAGAACAGACGGCGAACGCGAAGAGACGGAGAGAGAGUUUUCAGUUCAGAGUCAAGAAACAAUCAAAAGAAGAGCAGAGUGCGGCUCCACGAGGAGGUAUGUGUCUGCGCUGUCUGGUCGUUUAUUUGGUCUGUGCGAAAACAACCGCGAAGAACAGCGAAGGCAGCCCAAUUUCCUCCUUAUACUAUCGGGCGUGAUUAUUCAUGCAAGAUUAAUAUAUACGCUGUUUAUGUCUGCAUACCAAAUUUGCUGAACGAUAGUCGCCAAAAUGGGUGAAUACAUGAAAGAGCUUUUGGACAAAGAAGCUAAUGCAGUGUUUGGCAUUGGCAAAUCCAUCCCUGAUACUGAUCCAGAGAAACUGAGGAAGAUUGGAAACUUGUGUCUUGAGCUCGGGGACCACUGGAAUGCAAUCUGUGCUUACACGAAGAGUUUGGCCAUGGCACCAGCUGGAAGCAAACUUCGUUGUCUGGCCUACGCCAACAAGAGUGCCGUCCUGCUUGCUUUGGGCUACUACGAGGAAUGCAUCAGUGAUGCAAAAAUUUCUCUUCAAAACCAGUACCCUGACAAUCUGGCCCACAAGCUGCACAUGCGGAUGGUCGUCUGCAACAAAGCGCUGGGAAAUAAAAGCCGCUGAAGCUGAAGAGAACCAACUUGCUGCAGUUCAAGCGAUCAAAAGAUUGGCGAUGAAUAGUGAAUCAGAGGCAAAGGCCAUCAAAGGGUUUAUGCUUGAAUUGAAAAUGAAUCGCAAGCCAAAAAUGCCCAAAUUUGAGAUUGAAUAUGUCGCACCACCUCCCCUGAGCCACGGUCCAAAUCCAAAAGACCCAAAGAUUUCUGCAGCCCUUAAUCUGAAAAAAUGAGGGAAAAGUCUGAUUGCAAAUAGAAAACUGAAAAUUGGUGAUGUCUUAGCUGUUGAAGAGCCGGCAUUUUUUAAAUUCUCAUCCAUAUGAUUGACGUUGGUGAACCUUCCUGGAUCCAUUGCAGCAAAUGCUUAAAGCUCUGUGUGAAUUUGAUCCCUUGCAAAACAUGCUAUAUGGGUUUGCUACUGAAGUGAUGAAUGCAAAUCUGAAGCUUUGGAGAAGUAUCACAGGUAUGAAUGCAGAGCCAAGGAAAAGCUCAUCAAAACCCUUCUUGAAGACGGAGUAAAAAGCAAAAUGGAUUUCAUCUACAUUAUAAAUUACUCGUUUGCAUUGAUAUUUGGUCUUGGCUUGGAAAAUUGCAUCAGAGCUCUCUCACCUGACGGCCAAUUUUCAAAUAAGGCCACGGAGCAGAUUAAGGAACUUAUGAAAAUGCCAGUUAGAAGUGAUGGCCACUACCUCGUCUCGGAUGCAUCAAAUUUGUUCAUCGUGAACGUGGUGGCCGAUUGCCUGGCAAACACCACAGAAAGGAAGCAGGCUUUGUUUGAAUUUUUGCAAAAAGCUUUGCUUGUUCUGCAUACAAACUGGCUGCCAAUGAAUGACACAAUGUUCUGCUACUGACAAUAAGCUUGUUUGUCAAUCGUCAAGACCAAUUGGAUUGGGGGUCUAUCUAAUGUAUAAUUCCAUCAAAGGCGGUUGCGACUGCAAUGCUGUCCACAGCAUGUACCGACAGACAUUAGUUGUGCAAGCUGGAAGGCCUAUCAAAAAGGGCGAUCGAGGAGAUUCUCUUGGACAAAGGUCUUGACUACAUCAAGAAUCCUCUUCAAAUUAGACGCUUCUACUAUUCAGAAGUUGAAGGUACCAAAGGAAAGUGCAAUUGCAGAGCCUGCGAGGAGAUUUGGCCAACACACAAAGAGCAAGUCAAAUGCUACGAAGAUCUCUAAGAAUCCAGCCAACAAAGAUCUCAUAAGAGAGUUGUGUUGUACUGAUGCUGCAUUCUUUGGCAAGGAAAGUAGUGGCUCUCCAGUCUCUAUUUUAAAGCCUGAGACGCCAGAAAUUUGGUCGAAGGUCUUGGAGCUGUACAUGAUCAUAGAAGAGACGAUCAGCUGUACAAUCAAGUGUUUAAAUUUGUCUGCCAGUAUUUGAGUUUGGCCACCAAAAAUAUUGACACAGACCCAGCUAUUCUGUCAACGUGAAGCUUACAUCAGAUCGGCUCAAGAAAUGCCCCGGCGUAGAGGAAAAAAAGACGGGAGUCAAGAAAAACCCCGCAAAUCAAGCAAAAGCAAUGGACGAGAUUGUGGCAACGUCGCGCCGAGUCGCUCCAUGGCACCAGGCAGAGCAGCUGCUCAAGUUGAUCUCAAGCAAGGACCACCAGCCGGCCGAGUGCGAAAAGUGACAAAGCCGCCCGUAGCCAAGGAACCUCCGGUGGCUCCUCAUGAGUCGGG